rnacentral:lncRNA from 1 species
GGAGCGUCCGCGGCCCGCGCAGAGCCGCGCACCAAGCCGAUGGCGGUGGACGCAGCAGGGCCCCGCGGUCUGAGUGCGGGCAGGCGCGCGUGGGCGUGUCUCCCUGGCCCACGCGUGUCCCCGGCAUCAGUGUCUCGGCUCUGGUCCAGGACGAAGACUUCUGAAAGCGAGCCAAGGAGAAUCACAGUUCUUAACGGAGCCCCUGACUGCCCGGUGGAAGGAGGUGAUUUAGAAGACAGUGAGUUGAUCUGGGGCAAAGUGAAGCAUCAGUAGCGCCUUCCAUCCCUUCACCUCACCUGGAUCUCUUCACUUCACUCCACGUCUGUCGUCUCCCAUGCAUGAAGCAACAUGGCCAAGUGAAGCUGCAACCAGUAAAGUGUAAGCCUCCCAAUAGAACAUUUCUUCCUGAGCCAACCUAUCAGUGCAGCUCUGGAAGCAAAUGACCUCUCCUGGCAGAGCCUUCACUGUGUGGGGAACAUCAGAUUUGUGUAAAGAAGAUCACCUGUCUCUUCUCAGGUGUGCACUGUAGAGAAGCUGCUGCGAAGGCCACAGGUCACUCAGGAAAAUUUGGGGCAGUUUUCUAGGUUCAAGGGAGACUGGACAUCAAAGCUGCACUGGGACAUAUGGACGCCUUGAUCCACUUUGGCCAUUCCACCUCAGCUCAGAAUUACUCACUGGUGUCAGCACAGGAUGUUUCUUGGCUUCAAACCAUUUGGAUAAGUGAUGGCAGCAAGCUUCGCCACUGUAAAGUCACCUCUUUGUAAGAAGACAGGAGCUCUUUGUAAAGAAUAUGAGACCUGAGGCUGGGGGAUGGCUGAGAAGGGAAAAGCACCUCUGCACAAGCGUGAGAAAAGGAGUUUGUUCUUCCACAUCCAUGUAGAAAUCUUGAUGCCGUGCCGUGAACCCCAGCUCUCCUACGGGAAGAUGGGAGGCGUAGACAGGAGUUCAUCUGGAAGCUUGAGGCCAGCCACCCAGAUCCUCAGAGCUGCAGACAAAAGAGAGGCCCUGCAGCAAAAGAGUGGAAGGUGAGAACCAACUCCGGAAAGUUGCCCUCUGACCUUUACAAGUGUAUACAUCCACACACAUACAAUAAAAUCAAUUGCUCAAUCACGUA